rnacentral:rRNA from 1 species
GAUGAACGCUGGCGGCGUGCCUAAUACAUGCAAGUCGAGCGAACAGACGAGGAGCUUGCUCCUCUGACGUUAGCGGCGGACGGGUGAGUAACACGUGGAUAACCUACCUAUAAGACUGGGAUAACUUCGGGAAACCGGAGCUAAUACCGGAUAAUAUAUUGAACCGCAUGGUUCAAUAGUGAAAGACGGUUUUGCUGUCACUUAUAGAUGGAUCCGCGCCGCAUUAGCUAGUUGGUAUGGUAACGGCUUACCAAGGCAACGAUGCGUAGCCGACCUGAGAGGGUGAUCGGCCACACUGGAACUGAGACACGGUCCAGACUCCUACGGGAGGCAGCAGUAGGGAAUCUUCCGCAAUGGGCGAAAGCUUGACGGACCAACGCCGCGUGAGUGAUGAAGGUCUUCGGAUCGUAAAACUCUGUUAUUAGGGAAGAACAAAUGUGUAAGUAACUAUGCACGUCUUGACGGUACCUAAUCAGAAAGCCACGGCUAACUACGUG